GAUGAACGCUGGCGGCGUGCCUAACACAUGCAAGUCGAGCGAUCUUCUUCGGAAGAGAGCGGCGGACGGGUGAGUAACGCGUGGGUAACCUGCCCUGUACACACGGAUAACAUACCGAAAGGUAUGCUAAUACGGGAUAACAUAAGAAAAUCGCAUGUUUUUCUUAUCAAAGCUCUGGCGGUACAGGAUGGACCCGCGUCUGAUUAGCUAGUUGGUGAGGUAACGGCUCACCAAGGCAACGAUCAGUAGCCGACCUGAGAGGGUGAUCGGCCACAUUGGAACUGAGACACGGUCCAAACUCCGACGGGAGGCAGCAGUGGGGAAUAUUGCACAAUGGGCGAAAGCCUGAUGCAGCAACGCCGCGUGAGCGAUGAAGGCCUUCGGGUCGGAAAGCUCUGUCCUCAAGGAAGAUAAUGACGGUACUUGAGGAGGAAGCCCCGGCUAACUACGUGCCAGCAGCCGCAGUAAAAC
rnacentral:rRNA from 1 species